rnacentral:misc_RNA from 1 species
UUUCCGUAGGUGAACCUGCGGAAGGAUCAUUACAAAUCCAAAUAUUUACGAUGUGAGUAGUGGAGGAGAAAUUCUCCACACACACUCUAUCAUCACAUUACCUAUUGACACUUGUAUAUUAAUUUACGAAUGAAGAAUACCUUUUAACAAUGGAUCUCUUGGCUCUU